AUGGUGAGCGGUGUUCGCGGCGUGGUGGCUCGGUGUGGUCGGGAAGCCGAUUGCGGAGGGAUGUGUGAGGGCAGGACGGCGAGUUCCAGUGGGUCUGUGAUGGUUUCGGUUAGAGUGCUUUUUACCGGCGCUGAAGCUCCACGCCACGUGAACCACCCACACCGUUCUCACCUUGUGUUCUUCCGCGAUCUUCCACCACGGCCAACACCAAACACGCCCCAGCAACUUCCUCGUCGUUUCACAGGACCUUCUAUCGUGACCCAUCUGAAAACACAUAACAACUUUCAAUUUGUUCGGCCAGCCAUUUCCUUCCACCAACAACAACACCUCUUUUUCCAUUGUUUUAAGUGGUUGGUGGGAUGA